rnacentral:pre_miRNA from 1 species
AGCUUUUCGAAUUCGUGCAGAAAUUUCGUCAGACACCAACCCAUUAGGGCUGAUCAGACUUUCAGUACAAGUGAAGUU